CCUACGGGUGGCAGCAGUGAGGAAUAUUGGUCAAUGGGCGCGAGCCUGAACCAGCCAAGUCGCGUGAGGGAGGACGGCCCUACGGGUUGUAAACCUCUUUUGCCGGGGAGCAACGGGCGCCACGUGUGGCGUCACUGAGAGUACCCGGAGAAAAAGCAUCGGCUAACUCCGUGCCAGUAGCCGCGGUAUUACGGAGGAUGCGAGCGUUAUCCGGAUUUAUUGGGUUUAAAGGGUGCGUAGGCGGAUCGUUAAGUCAGUGGUCAAAUUGAGGGGCUCACCCCCUUCCCGCCAUUGAAACUGGCGUUCUUGAGUGGGAGGGAAGUAGGCGGAAUGCGUGGUGUAGCGGUGAAAUGCAUAGAUAUCACGCAGAACCCCGAUUGCGAAGGCAGCAUGCCGGAUUCCGACUGACGCUGAAGCACGAAGGCGUGGGGAUCGAACAGGAUUAGAUACCCGGGUAGUC
rnacentral:rRNA from 1 species